rnacentral:rRNA from 1 species
CCUACGGGUGGCAGCAGUGGGGAAUAUUGCACAAUGGGGGAAACCCUGAUGCAGCAACGCCGCGUGGGUGAAGGAGCGUUUCGGCGCGUAAAGCCCUGUCAGCGGGGAAGAAGAAAGACGGUACCCGACCAAGAAGCCCCGGCUAACUACGUGCCAGCAGCCGCGGUAAUACGUAGGGGGCGAGCGUUAUCCGGAAUUACUGGGUGUAAAGGGAUCGUAGACGGUGAGGGAAGCCUGAAGUGGAAGCCCGCGGCCCAACCCCGGGACUGCUUUGGAAACUGGGUAACUGGAGUACAGGAGGGGCAGGCGGAAUUCGUGGUGUAGCGGUGAAAUGCGUAGAUAUCAGGAGGAACACCGGCGGCGAAGGCGGCCUGCUGGACUGAAACUGACGUUGAGGCUCGAAAGCGUGGGGAGCAAACAGGAUUAGAUACCCGAGUAGUC